rnacentral:piRNA from 1 species
UCAGACACUCCUCCAUGCCCGGGCUGCA